rnacentral:lncRNA from 1 species
CCAGGAUAGAUCUCUGAAAGGGAACAUGGAAGAAAGAACUCGAGAAAAUUAUCAGUCCAAUAGAAAAGGACAGAAAUCUUCAGCAGUCUUCACUGAGUCUCUGGCCAGCGUUCAGACCAACUCAUCCCAGCCUCAUUCAAAUGAAUCCCUGGAAAGCUGCUGUUACAGAAUCUUCUGCCUGUGCCUGGCUCCAAGAAGCUGUAGCAUGCAUAGCAGCCACACCCCGGUAAAACCAUCUCAGCAGACAGGCUAAACCAGGUUGAAGAUAAACAACAGGCCUCAAAAAGGUCAGUCAGUUAGGGGGAUGUCUACCCCAAGCAUGUGAAGACUUCCCCCGGCUGCAUGGGUGGAUGAGAGCAAUUUGUUCCAGUGUCCAUGAAAGCAGCUGAAGCAGGUGGUGUGGACUGCUUAGACCUUGGUCAGACAUCCAAGGUACCAAGAUCAUCCAUAGCGUCCUGGGCCAUAGCCACUCGUGCUAACUUUUGUCUUGUCACUGGACUCUGACGACACUGAAAGAGAGUGAGGUUGACCUUUGUCCAACUCCGCCUCACUUAAAUCCAGUUCACUUGAGAGUCAAGACAUUACCCCAUGAUGUCAUGGGUCCUCUUUGAAAACAAAGGACAAACAGCAAGAAAGGAGAGGAAAAAAAUCUGAUUAUGUAAAAAGAAAGUUCUGGAUCUACUGGUAGCCAGAAAAAUGAAAGAGCCUUGUAUUUUUACUCGUGUUUACAUUUCAAUGAAGUUUAAUUUUGGGGGAAAACCCUAUAACUCAAGUACUAUUCACAAGUAACCUAUUAUAUGAGAGUCUUAAGAGCAUAUUGAAUUUGAAGUCAUAUAAGACUUGGGUUCUGGUCCUGAUUCUGUCACUGAAUGACUUUUACUCUCUGAGUUUCCAUUUCCUCAUAUACAAAAUGGGAGUAACAGCACUUUCCCCAGACAUGACUUUCCAUCUCCCACAGUUAUGCCCUUGUACAAGAUUUACCCCCUCCCAUAUCACCCCCACACACCAUGCCUGGAAUGUGCUCCCUCCUCACUUCUGCCUGUUGUAAUCUUUAGAUUCCUUCAAAGCAAGGCUCAUGUGUCACCCCCCAGAGAAGACCCUUCUCAGCCCUUCC